rnacentral:rRNA from 1 species
AUACGAGAUGUCGCAGGUGACUGGAGUUCAGACGUGUGCUCUUCCGAUCUGCGGGGCGGGGGCACGGGGGGAGGAAUUGGCGGGGGAGCACCACAACGGGUGGAGCUUGCGGUUUAAUUGGAUUCAACGCCGGAAAUCUUACCGGGACCGACAGCAAUAUGAAGGCCAGGCUGAAGACUUUGCCGGAUUAGCUGAGAGGUGGUGCAUGGCCGUCGUCAGUUCGUACUGUGAAGCAUCCUGUUAAGUCAGGCAACGAGCGAGACCCACGCCCACAGUUGCCAGCGUACUCUCUGGAGUGACGGGUACACUGUGGGGACCGCCGCUGCUAAAGCGGAGGAAGGAAUGGGCAACGGUAGGUCAGUAUGCCCCGAAUAUCCCGGGCUACACGCGAGCUACAAUGGUUGGUACAAUGGGUAUCUACCCCGAAAGGGGACGGGAAUCUCCUAAAACCAAUCUUAGUUCGGAUUGAGGGCUGCAACUCGCCCUCAUGAAGCUGGAAUCCGUAGUAAUCGCGUUUCAACAGAACGCGGUGAAUACGUCCCUGCUCCUUGCACACACCGCAGAUC